rnacentral:rRNA from 1 species
UACAGAGGUCCCGAGCGUUGUUCGGAUUCAUUGGGCGUAAAGGGUGCGUAGGCGGCGGGGCAAGUCUGAUGUGAAAUCCUGGGGCUCAACCUCAGAACUGCAUUGGAUACUGCCUUGCUAGAGUACUGGAGAGGGAACUGGAAUUUACGGUGUAGCAGUGAAAUGCGUAGAGAUCGUAAGGAAGGCCAGUGGCGAAGGCGAGUUCCUGGACAGUUACUGACGCUGAGGCACGAAGGCCAGGGGAGCAAGCGGG